GCAUAUUAUACUAUAUAUUAAAGGAGGGAUUGUGAAUCACUGUUCAUCAUCGGCUUAGUAACAGUACCAGCUCCAGCCGAGCCGAUUAUUAAAAUUACAAUUUUGUCCUUAUUUUGUAAUAAUUUACAGCCUUGCCAUCCGCCCUAGAUAUAAAAUCCUUCUUCGGUUUGCGCCCAAUCUACUUUCUUUCCUUUCUCUCGCUCGGUCACUCUCCUUAGUGUCCUUGCUCUGAACUGUAUGGAGUUUUCCAAUUUCAAUCAAUUUUUGAAGAAAUCUCAGAAGCUACAAGCUACAACUUCGACAACAGUGAACGGUCGGUAAGACUUUAAGUUUCUAGAAUCAAGUAUGAUUGAGAUUUCAGUUUCAAUUUUAAUUCAGUAUUGAAAUAAUUGAGUUCUUGAUUUUGGUUUGUGAAUGCCAUUGGUGUUGAUAAUGUUAGGACUCAGUACACUCCUUAUGAACGUUUAGAUGAUUCUAUGCUUCAGCAAUUGAAUAUCAGUGUAAACUGAACAUUCUGUGAUUCCUAUCUGUGAGAUUAAAUUAGGUUUAUCUAUCUGAGGAUCGGAGGGUGCAUUAAAUCGAGGCUGGCUCUGGGAAUUCCGGCAUGGAAAUUGCUUUGGAUCUGGCAAACGAUGGUGCAAAGACUUCAAUCACUGUUCAAAGCCCGGUUCAUUUUUUGUCAAGAAGGAUGGUUUACUUGGCCUUGGUUUUGUUAAGAUAUCUUUGAUUUAGCAAAGUGGAUUCUUUGAUGGUUUUGCUUAGCAAGCUGGUUUAUGGAGACCUGACCCAAGUACGGGAUACCCAGGCCAAAAGAGGGCCCUUUCUUUAUGAAGAUCAAUUACAGCAAGUAUCCGACCAUUGAUGUCGGCACCUGUAGUAAGAUCAAGUCCGGCGAGAUUCAGGUUUUACCCGCAGAAAUAGGCAGCAUAAGAGGAAGCGAUGUGGAACUCAAAAAGGGGAAGUCGUACCAGUUUGAGUCCAUCGUUUUCUGCACCGGAUUCAAGACAUCAACAAGUUUGUGGCUCAAGGCAGAUGAUUAUCUUUUGAAAGAAGAUGGGAUUCCAAGACCAAGUUCUCCAAACCAUUCAAAGGGACAGAAGGGUUUGUAUUGUGUGGGACUAUCAAGAAGCAAUUUCCCUUUUUUAUAUGUUCUGUGGUCAUUUUGUGAAGAUGCCUACUUUCUUCGUCACUUGAACCAUUUAUUUGUGAAGGCAUGAUUUGGAUGAUCUUAUGUUCCAUUUUGGAGCCAAAAUUUGUUUAAUCACCUCUCUUCGGGAUACUUGCUACAUUGAGAUCCUUCCUACAGACAGGAAUCCUACACAAGAGCUUUGGCUGAGCUUUUGGAGCGAAGUGCAUUACAACUCACUAUAUGCUACUGCAGAUGUUUCCACAAGAAGUCCCAGAAAGAACCAUCGGCUUUUCUAGACUGCAAUUAGCAAGCAGACAGACCAUGAUGUAAUCUUAGUCUGCUUGCCGGUAUCCAUUCUACUGUCUUUGGCAGAAUUAGAAAAUGGGACAGUGCCUUGGUUGUUUCUACGAGGACCAUUCUAUUGAUGAUGUGCUUAAACCAGAUUGUCAUUGUUUACCUUGGUGUUUGGGUAGCGCAGCAGCUGGUCAUUUCUUUCUACGAGUGCAGCAAUUGGAUAUUCGCUGUGAAACAAAGACCAAGAUUUAUUUUUAAUUUUCUUUAUAAACAAAAGAUUGACAUUAACUUCCUAUACACAGAGCAAGCACUGCACACGCGCUCUAGCCGGAUCUCUUAGUUCUCUCACUAAUGUAAAGACUUUGUGUUGUUUCUCUUAAUUGUCUAUGUAUAUAUUUGUUCUCUGUUGGUUUAAUUAUUUAAGGUGCUUAUGGUUGUUACUUA